CAGGCCUAACACAUGCAAGUCGAGCGGGCACUUUCGGGUGUCAGCGGCAGACGGGUGAGUAACACGUGGGAACGUACCCUUCGGUUCGGAAUAACGCUGGGAAACUAGCGCUAAUACCGUAUGUGCCCUUCGGGGGAAAGAUUGAUCGGCAAAGGAUGAGCCCGCGUUGGAUUAGCUAGUUGGUGGGGUAAAGGCCUACCAAGGCGACGAUCCUUAGCUGGUCUGAGAGGAUGAUCAGCCACACUGGGACUGAGACACGGCCCAGACUCCUACGGGAGGCAGCAGUGGGGAAUAUUGGACAAUGGGCGAAAGCCUGAUCCAGCAAUGCCGCGUGAGUGAUGAAGGCCUUAGGGUUGUAAAGCUCUUUUACCCGGGAUGAUAAUGACAGUACCGGGAGAAUAAGCUCCGGCUAACUCCGUGCCAGCAGCCGCGGUAAU
rnacentral:rRNA from 1 species